UACAAUAUGAACUGGCACCUCACCUAAGUGUCAUGUUUAAUCAUAGCCUCACCUCAGGUUUCGUGCCCACCGAGUGGCGCAGAGCUACAGUUAUCCCACUCCACAAGGGGGGAUCCACCUUGGAUCCC